GCUUUGAAUUUGUGUCCCACCCCUGUGAUUGGAGCUCAAUAUCAGAGCGUCUGUCAGUCCGACUGUAAAUCCAACAUCACUGUCCUUCAGUUUCACUCAUUCCCAGUAAAGAUGAGGACACACGCUCUGAUCAUCUGCUCUCUGCUGCUGCUGCUCAACGAGUGUAGAGGACAGAUCACCGUCACUCAGAGUCCCUCAAUGACAGCAGCUCAACCAGGACAAACUGUGAACAUCAACUGUAAAACCAGCAGAGAUGUGUACAAAUAUAGUGGGAAUGAUUGUUUAGCCUGGUACUUACAGAAACCUGGAGAAGCUCCUAAACUCCUGAUUUAUUAUACAAGCACCCUCCAGUCAGGAACUCCAUCUAGAUUCAGUGGCAGUGGAUCUAACAGUGAUUUCACUCUGACCAUCAGUGGAGUCCAGACUGAAGAUGCUGGACAUUAUUACUGUCAGAGUUUCCACUAUCCAAACAGUCAAUAUGUGUUCACACAGUGAUAAAGAGUCGUACAAAAACCUCCGUCAGUCAGAGUCACAGUGACUGAACUGAUACUGCAGCUGCUCACACACUUUCACACACUUUCACACACACUCAACAGCAGAA